CCUACGGGAGGCAGCAGUAGGGAAUUUUGCGCAAUGGGCGAAAGCCUGACGCAGCAACGCCGCGUGAUCGAGACGCCCUUCGGGGUGUAAAGAUCUGUCAGUGGGGACGAAACUUGACGGUACCCACAGAGGAAGCACCGGCUAACUCCGUGCCAGCAGCCGCGGUAAUACGGGGGGUGCCAGCGUUGUCCGGAAUCAUUGGGCGUAAAGAGUUCGUAGUCGGAACGUAAAGUCUGGUGUUAAAGGCAGAGGCUCAACUUCUGUACGGCACUGGAUACUUGCGAGCUAGAGUGCGGUAGAGGGAAGGGGAAUGCCUGGUGUAGCGGUGAAAUGCGUAGAUAUCAGGAGGAACAUCGGUGGCGUAGGCGCUUUACUGGGCCGUAAUUGACGCUGAGGAACGAAAGCCAGGGUAGCAAAUGGGAUUAGAUACCCCAGUAGUG
rnacentral:rRNA from 1 species